rnacentral:lncRNA from 1 species
AGAAGAUGCUCUCUGGAAUGGUGGUAUUAAGAGUGGUCAGAAAUUUGCCACAUCCAAGCCUGGUGCUCAGGGUCCCUGGGAAUGAAGGGAAUGAAGAAUGACUGAUUCCAUUAGUACAGAUCAUUCAUCAAGGCAUUUGCAAGCAACUACUGAUGUAAGAUUGAUAACUGUUCAUUGGAUUAACAUGGAUUCACAACAAUUUGCAUGAAGAGAACUGCAGUUUCUCAGAUGGGGAAAAGAUAAUAUUAGCUUAUAAGAGUGAUCUGAUGGCCAUUUGUGCCUCAGGUGCUUAGGUUAUGCUUUCCACUCGGCAAUCUUGACCCAACAAUAACUAACAGAGUCCAAAUGUCUUCAUUACAGGACCUCACAAAUAAACAUAAAACAGGCAUGAAGGUGCA